GAGACGUAUCUUGCACUAUAAAAUAUACAUUAAACUGCCUCUGUCACUGCCCCCUCCCCCUCUCUCUAAAAACUAGGGUGGCACUACCCUUUCUCAUUGCCUUCUCUCUCUCUCAACGGUGAUGACGGUGUAGUGGUGACGGCAACGGUGAGGUAGUGAAGGCACUACGAUGGUUGACGCUGAAGAACACCUGAGAUAUCUUAGAUGCACUCUGUUUCUAGUGUUUCUUACUUUGUCUUCUUCAAGGUGGUUACUAAAGAAAUUUAAUGGUAUUAAAGAGUAAUGGUAAUGGAUGGCAUAAGAAAAGUAAGGAAGGACCUGAUAAUCCUCCUGCAGGUCAAUAUAGACCACCACCACCACCUGUUACCACAACUCCUCCACCAGCUACUACAAAUCUUCCUCCUCCUCCUAGGUCAACUAUUUCACUAGCAAAUGCAUUUUUCAUGCCACCAACAUCUGACCAAUUCCAUAUCUCUUCUGCCCAUAAUAGUCUGCAUAGUAGCUCUUCAUCUGUGCCUUUGACAUCAUCCACACUUAGCCUUUCUUGAUUGAGAAAGGGAGGUUCUAGCACUAUCAAUGGAUGCUAGAAAUGGAGGUUCUAGCAUAUCAACAUCGCUAUCCAUUGAUAGUGCUACAACAGCUGCUUCCCAAAACAUGAAAUUUAAAGAAGUAUUAGAAUAUGACAAUUACGGGAUGCUAAUUAUCAUCCAUGAUGGUGAUGGGCAAAGUGUAGAUGAAGGUCUUGUCAUGAAAAAGAAACAGAAGCCAUUUUCUAGUUGAAAGCAUCUCUAAGAAUCAAAGAACACUUGUAUGAGGCCCAAAAAAAAUUGCAAAAAUCUGGUUGGCUUACGAAAGAAGUGUGGGUCAAGUUCUUGAAAAUAUGGGAUACUUCGAAAUAUAAGGCGAAGAGGGAACGAGCAAAGGUAAAUCGGGCCUAUGAAACGGGUGGCUCGUUGUGUAUCAGAGGUUCGAUGAGUUUUGCUACCCACCAACGAAAAUAGUACUUGACAUACUAACAUUCGUGCUAGCGAUUCUAUUUGACACGAUAUUCAAAUAUUGUUCACAAGUCUUGCCAAAUUGGUAAGACUAAUCUGUGUUCUUCAAUCGUUUACAAAUUGUUGGAUUGGUAAUACUAUAACCAAUUAACAUAUAUCCAUUAUAUAUCCUAAGGGUGGUUUGUAAACAACACUCUGGAGCUUAUCAUCAAUUGAUUUAUGUAGCUCAAACUGCAAGGGAAA